ACGCGGUCUAAUACCGGAUACGACGCGCCCCCGCAUGGGGUGCGCGUGGAAAGGUUCACUCCGGUUGGGGAUGGGCUCGCGGCCUAUCAGCUUGUUGGUGGGGUGAAGGCCUACCAAGGCGAUUACGGGUAGCCGGCCUGAGAGGGCGACCGGCCACACUGGGACUGAGACACGGCCCAGACUCCUGCGGGAGGCAGCAGUGGGGAAUAUUGCGCAAUGGGCGAAAGCCUGACGCAGCGACGCCGCGUGGGGGAUGACGGCCUUCGGGUUGUAAACCUCUUUUACCACUCACGCAGGCCCCGGGUUCUCCCGGGGUUGACGGUAGUGGGGAAUAAGGACCGGCUAACUACGUGCCAGCAGCCGCGGUAAUACGUAGGGUCCGAGCGUUGUCCGGAAUUAUUGGGCGUAAAGAGCUCGUAGGCGGCGUGUCGCGUCUGCUGUGAAAGACCGGGGCUUAACCCCGGUUUUGCAGUGGAUACGGGCAUGCUAGAGGUAGGUAGGGGAGACUGGAAUUCCUGGUGUAGCGGUGAAAUGCGCAGAUAUCAGGAGGAACACCGGUGGCGAAGGCGGGUCUCUGGGCCUUACCUGACGCUGAGGAGCGAAAGCGUGGGGAGCGAACAGGAUUAGAUACCCUGGUAGUCCACGCCGUAAACGUUGGGCGCUAGGUGUGGGGGCUUUCCACGGUUCCCGUGCCGCAGCUAACGCAUUAAGCGCCCCGCCUGGGGAGUACGGCCGCAAGGCUAAAACUCAAAGGAAUUGACGGGGGCCCGCACAGCGGCGGAGCAUGUUGCUUAAUUCGACGCAACGCGAAGAACCUUACCAAGGUUUGACAUCACCGGUAAUCCAUCAGAGAUGGUGGGUCCUUCGGGGAUCGGUGACAGGUGGGCAUGGCUGUCGUCAGCUCGUGUCGUGAGAUGUUGGGUUAAGUCCCGCAACGAGCGCAACCCUUGUUCCAUGUUGCCAGCACGUGAUGGUGGGGACUCAUGGGAGACUGCCGGGGUCAACUCGGAGGAAGGUGGGGAUGACGUCAAGUCAUCAUGCCCCUUAUGUCUUGGGCUGCAAACAUGCUACAAUGGCCGGUACAGUGGGCGUGCGAUGCCGUGAGGCGGAGCGAAUCCCUAAAAGCCGGUCUCAGUUCGGAUUGGGGUCUGCAACUCGACCCCAUGAAGGUGGAGUCGCUAGUAAUCGCGGAUCAGCA
rnacentral:rRNA from 1 species